UGGGGUUUAGGAUAACCACAAACCAAGGACCUUCAAAGCCCUAAACAGAAGUUAAACUCUUCUAACCCCAA
rnacentral:tRNA from 1 species